GUCCCAGUGUGACGCAAUGGUUAGUGUAUCUGCCUUGUGAGCAGAAGACCUGGGUUCAAAUCCCAGCACUGAUA